rnacentral:rRNA from 1 species
AGAGCGAACGCUGGCGGCGUGCUUAACACAUGCAAGUCGAACGCGCAGCAUUCUGUAGCAAUACAGGGUGUGGGCGCGUGGCGAACGGGUGCGUAACACGUGGAUAACCUUCCUUGAGGUGGGAAUAACCCAGUGAAAAUUGGGCUAAUACCGCAUAACAUCGCGAUGGCACAUGCUGAUGCGAUCAAAGGCGCAAGUCGCCACAAGAGGGAUCCGCGGCCGAUUAGCUUGUUGGCGAGGUAAUGGCUCACCAAGGCAUUGAUCGGUA